rnacentral:misc_RNA from 1 species
GCUCUCUCUGAAAAACAAGUAGCGACGAUCAGAAUGGCGACGGAGGAGGAGGUGGAGAUAGUGAAACCGCGUACGGACAAGAGAGAGUAUAGGAGGAUCGUCCUUAAGAACUCUCUUGAGGUGCUCCUCAUCAGCGAUCCCGAUACCGAUAAGAGUGCUGCUUCCAUGGAUGUUGGUGUAGGCUAUUUCAGCGACCCUGUUGGCCUCGAAGGAC